CACCUUCCCAUACCAUACUCUUGUCCUUCCUCACAACAACAAACUUAUACUGAAUAGACUCACCCCCUCUUAACUCCACAUCACAAACCCAUCCAGACUCUGUCCAAUUCAUUGGCACCUUCUUCUUCCACAGACCUAAUUCUUUGGCAGACCCUAAAAUCACUACAUGCUCACCAAAUUCAACUUGGUGAUCNACGUUAAGCUGAACCUUUCCAUUCCCCGACUUCGAUUUGGCUUUUUGCAUCUUCUUCUCUCCCUCUCUUGUUUCAGUAGGAGAAACACCGCAAAUGAUUCUAUGAAUGGUGCUUGAUCGAUAGCGAAGAGGAAAAGAAAUCCCAGGAUUACGAAGAGCAUGGAAGAAAUUCAAUCGCUUUCCGUGGAAAUUGAGUCUGGGGGAAGAAUUAGAGAGGUGCAAUACACGCAGAGAAUCCAUUUCUGUGAAGAGAAAGAUUG
rnacentral:misc_RNA from 1 species